rnacentral:rRNA from 1 species
AGUGGGGAAUAUUGGACAAUGGGCGAAAGCCUGAUCCAGCAAUGCCGCGUGAGUGAUGAAGGCCUUAGGGUUGUAAAGCUCUUUUACCAGGGAUGAUAAUGACAGUACCUGGAGAAUAAGCUCCGGCUAACUCCGUGCCAGCAGCCGCGGUAAUACGGAGGGAGCUAGCGUUGUUCGGAAUUACUGGGCGUAAAGAGUACGUAGGCGGUGAUUCAAGCCAGAGGUGAAAGCCUGGAGCUCAACUCCAGAACUGCCUUUGAAACUAGAUCGCUAGAAUUAUGGGGAGGUUAGUGGAAUUCCGAGUGUAGAGGUGAAAUUCGUAGAUAUUCGGAAGAACACCAGUGGCGAAGGCGACUAACUGGACAUAUAUUGACGCUGAGGAACGAAAGCGUGGGGAGCAAACAGGAUUAGAUACCCUGUAGUCCACGCCGUAAACGAUGAUAACUAGCUGUUCGGGGUCUACGAUCCUGAGUGGCGCAGCUAACGCAUUAAGUUAUCCGCCUGGGGAGAACGGUCGCAAGAUUA